AAGAGACAGCAGCAGCCACGGUAAUACAGAGGGUGCGAGCGUUAAUCGGAUUUACUGGGCGUAAAGCGUGCGUAGGCGGCUUCUUAAGUCGGAUGUGAAAUCCCUGAGCUUAACUUAGGAAUUGCAUUCGAUACUGGGAAGCUAGAGUAUGGGAGAGGAUGGUAGAAUUCCAGGUGUAGCGGUGAAAUGCGUAGAGAUCUGGAGGAAUACCGAUGGCGAAGGCAGCCAUCUGGCCUAAUACUGACGCUGAGGUACGAAAGCAUGGGGAGCAAACAGGAUUAGAGACCCCUGUAGUCCCUGUCUCUUAUAC
rnacentral:rRNA from 1 species